rnacentral:lncRNA from 1 species
CUACCGUCCCUAGAUGAAAGACCAUGCGUUUUUCCCAGAGUCAACCCCGGGAAGAGUGAUGGCCGGGGGCUUUCCAUCAGCGUCUACCCCUGGUGGAGAGAGGUGGAGCAGGGUUCAACCUGGAAAGGAGCCAACCUGUCCUUCACCAACCCAUUGUACAAUUACCCCCCUGAAGCGAAUGGAACUGAACACAAAAGCUCUGAAGCAUAAAAACAAUGGACUUCAAAUAUUUGACACUGCAGUAGAUUCAGACUGUGCAAAUACUUGAUGAGUUUGUUUUGUCCUGCUGAGGUGCCAAAUGGAGGGAAACAAUUCAAAGAAAGUGUUUGAAAGUAAUUUCUGAUAUUACUGUAAUCAACAGCCAAAUUAUUUGGAUUAUGUAUGAUACCCUAUUGAUAUUGUACUAUAUAUUCAAUGAAAAGCUACUCAACAAUUUACCCACUUAAAUAAACCUUUAAAAUCUCAAAAGCAAUAAUCAACAUUCAGAAGUAAAGUGACAGGAUUGAUCCCACUGUCAUGUCUAUACAGAAGUUAUGUACAGCCAGAAGUCACUUAGCUUAGCUUAGCAUAAGGACUAGAAACAGGGGGAAUCUUCUAGCCUGGCUCCAGCCAAGGCAACAAAAUCCACCUGUGAAAAUCCCAAUAAAAUAUUUUACAGAUUGAGAUUAAUGUUGCAUCUUGAUUUUUAAUCCAUUAAAAUGAAGUCCAAUUCCAUUAUUCAACAGUAGAGAACGCAAGCAAGAAGUAAAUUAAGUCAUGUUGCACUUAAUACUGCGUGAGUAACAGUUUAUUAACAUUGCAUGCUCUCACAUGCAGAAUGGUUGUGGUUGUGGCCUAACGAAAGCAGAAAACAUCUGGUUCAUUGAACUGAAAGGCUCCACUGAACAAACAGAGUUUCCAAACUGAGUAUCGUCUUCAUUAUUAGUUUUUUAAUACUCACACGUACAAAUAAAAUAGUUAUGACCCUGUUUUAUAUGAAAAUUACAAGUCCGCAUCCUGCAGCUGCUUUGUGUGCGGUGUCAGCAGUCAUGGCUCUUCUCAGCUGUCUCAUCAGACAUGCCAUCAUAAGUGGCCUUCUCAGCAAGCAUGCACUGGUAUAGUGCAUGCUUGCUAGACUGUCACACUGUCAUGAACAGUCAGGACUUAGACAUUCUGUUGGUAGGAACGAAAAUAUUGUGAU